UUAUUUAAAUAGAAAGGUAAUUUUUUUUAUUUAUUUCUUGUAGAUAGUUUUAAUACGUUCUCAAUAUCAAUAAAAGUACAAGUCAAAGAAAAUGUACACAUUUAGGAUAGGAGUUUUUAAAAGCUCUGAUGUACACACUAUAUUCAUGUACCUAUAAUACAGUUAGAAUUGGUCAUAAUUACAGUUUUAUAUACAAGGCUAAACAGAAAAUAUAAACAUAGAUUAUCUAGACAUUAAAGAAUUUUUCUUAGAAAUAUACUUUAUUACUCUUUCUCUCUCUCUCAUUUUCUCUGAUUCUCUUCCUCCCUCUCU